rnacentral:misc_RNA from 1 species
GAUGAAGAACGUAGCGAAAUGCGAUACUUGGUGUGAAUUGCAGAAUCCCGUGAACCAUCGAGUCUUUGAACGCAAGUUGCGCCCGAAGCCAUUAGGUCGAGGGCACGCCUGCCUGGGCGUCACACGUCGUUGCCCCCCCCAUCUACUCCUUCGGGAUUGCGGGGGGCGGAUGAUGGCCUCCCGUGCGCCUCGCCGCGCGGUUGGCAUAAAUGCCAAGUCCUCGGCGACGCACGCCACGACAAUCGGUGGUUGCGAAACCUCGGUUGCCCGUCGUGUGCGGUCGUCGCGCAUCGAGGGCUCGAAAAAAUUGCCGAGUUCCGGCUCGGCUUUCAACGCGACCCCAGGUCAGGCGGGGUUACCCGCUGAAUUUAAGCAUAUCAAUAAGCGGAGGA